ensembl:lncRNA
UCUGGGGGGGGCAUGGGGUGCUGAUGACCCCUCUGUGCCCAGUGCUGGAGCCCCAGCCUGCGGAGAGCUCGGCUCGGAGGAUGGUGCUCAUCAAAACCAUCGAGACACGGGACGGGCAGCAAGUGGUGACAGAGUCGCACAAGGAGCGAGCGGGGAAGUGACAGAGAGGAGCUGCUGCGAUGGCCCCGACCCCACGGCGGGGGUUUUGCCAAACCCUGCUGCGUCCUGGGCGGGGAAUGGAGCAAAGCAGGGGGGCUGGGAGUGCCCCAAUUCCCAUUCCUGCUGUCAGCACCACGGGACAACGCUGUGGUGUGUCCCUGUGCCUUUGCAGUGUGUCCCUGUGCCUUGUCCCCACACUAUUUAUUGCCUAUUUAUUAUCCUCCCAACCACAUUCCCAGCUCUAUUCCAUAUCGAGUGUUCCCCACGCUGCCUUGAGGCCGGGGGAGUCCCGGCUUCCCUCCUGCCCCCAGAGCUGGCACCGGCUGCCCCCGGGCUUGGAGGGUCUGGUGACAUCCAUGCACUGUCCCCUCUGGUGUCACUGCCCGGGGGAGUGGAGCAGAAUGGGAAGCAGCGCCCGGCUGAGGGGGGGAUCUGCGUCCCCAGGGCACUGCUCUUCCCCCCCCCCCCCCCUGCGUCCCCAGGGCGCUGCUCUUAUUUUGGGGGGGUCUCACCUCCCCUCUCGUCACUGAAACCGGCACCGGCUGCCGCCGGGGUUGGCGGAUCCCAAGCUCUGUCCCCUCUGGUGUCGCUGCCCGGGGGAGUGGGGCAGAAAGGGAAGCAGCUCCCGGCUGUGGGGGGAUCUGCGUCUCCAGGGCCCCUCUCCAUCACUACCACUCCCAUUUUGGGGGGGGGGUCUCACCUCCCCUCCCAUCACCCAAGACUUCCUCUGGUGUCACCGCCUCGGGGAAGGACGCAGGAAGGAGCCUCAACCCCGCUCCUUCCCGGGACCCCGCGACUUCCAGAGGACCCGGAGGGCUCCAGGCUCACGGAGUGUCCGGUCGGAGCGGGAUCGGUGCUCCCGAACCACCGGGGACCGGAGCGGCACCGCCGGGAGCGCCGCGCUCAUUCCCCACCGGCACCACCAGGGGGCGCCACCGGCCCGGCCCAAUCGCUGCCGCGCGUUAAUUACGUAUUAAUUGCCUAUUAAUUACGGGUUAAUUACAGCGCGACGAGCCUCUGGAAGUGCGGGGAAACACCCUGAUUUCUAUAAUUACGUUAUAUCAAGCAUUUUUUUUUUUUGCAUGAUUAAGUGCGUUACUUCAAGCAAAUUAUGCAAAAUUGCGCCCGUGCAACAUUUGCGUGUUAGUUUUGCUAUUUUAAGCAAAUUUUUGCACUGUUUCAUGAUUUUCAGCAUUUUUUCGCGUCACUGAUUGAAUUGUUUAAAGCAAAUUUUGCACAAUUGCGUUAUUUAAACAAAUCUUGCACACAUAGUUGCAUUAUUUAAGCAAAUGUUGCACUAUUGCAUUUUAAGUAUUUUUUGCAUCAAUUGGGUUCAGUUUUUGCAUUACUGUGUUAUAGCAAAUUAUUAAAAAUUGCAUCAUUUCAUGGAAUUUUGGCAUCAUUAAUUGCAUUAUUUUAUGCAAUUUUCUCACCAGUAAUUACAUGAACAAAAUAAUAUAAAAUCGCAUUAUUUUAAGCUUUUUUCCUGAUUAAUUACGUUAUCUUAGGCAUUUUUUUUUGCGUGAAAAUUGAAUUAUUUUAACCUAUUUUUGGCAUCAUGAAUAGCACUAUUUUAAGCCGCUUGCAUGAUUUGAAGCGCUAAUUGCGAUAUCGCUCACUCUGGGUCACGGCAACACCGCAGGAACAGCCCCGGAUCCCUGACCGGGGGUGGGGGAGCCGCUGCUCGGGGGGGUUUCGGUCACAGAGGACCAAGGAGUGUCCAGGGGUGACAAACACACAGUCCCAGUCCCCUGAGAAAGGGUUUAAUGAGGGGAGGGGGGUGGGCACUGCUGGUGCUCUCACAGACAGGAGGUCCGGGGGGACAGACGGACACACAGACAGGUAUGAACACUAUGUACACGCACCCCCCGCCCCACCUCUGGGGAUCUGGAGCAGGGCUGGGGGCGCUUGCAGUCCUGCCACACUGGGAAUGGGGCUGAGGGGGAACUGGGAGCACUGGGAUGGGGCCGGGGGCUCUUUGGUUUCGGCGUUGAGGCUGCGCAGGGGCCCCCCCCCCCCCCCCCCCCCCCCCCCCCCCCCCCCCCCCCCCCCCCCCCCCCCCCCCCCCCCCCCCCCCCCCCCCCCCCCCCCCCCCCCCCC